rnacentral:tRNA from 1 species
GUCCUUGUAGCUUACAACAAAGCAUGGCACUGAAGAUGCCAAGACAGUCGCACAUGUACUCAAGGACA